UACCCCUUCAGCCCCCCAAUUCUCUCUGUGUAUCUCUGUAUGUUUCUUUCUCUCAGUCUCUGUCUCACUGUCUCUUUGUGUCUUCUCUAUUUCUCUAUCACUUCUGUCUCCUCUUCCGAACCAUCCCUUUCCUCUGCUCCCCAUCCCCUUCAAUCUUCCUUCAGCUCUUAUUAACAUGGAUGACCAUGCCCAGUAACGACGGGAAAAGUCAAGGGAAGUCGCCCCUUGAUAACAGCCUCCUUGGAGCACAGCACUGACCCAGAGCACAGUGCACCCAGAGUCUGAGCACCAGUGGGAAGGACUGGAGAAGAAGGAAAAGGAGGAAGAGGGCAUACCACCCUGGGAAAGGGGCUACCCUUAGCACGCUGCUCCUGAAUGAGGGGAAAUCGCCUAUCUCUGACUCUCAGCCAAUGCUGAAUCUUGUUUGCGGGUGUCGUUUGGACUAGGUGUGCUCAGUUCAGAGCUCAGGUUUAUGCGCUGACACACUAGAGCGAAGGGUUUGAGGUUCCAAUGAAAUACACAAAAUUGUACCUGUGUGCUGUUGUUGCUCCUUCAGCUACUGCCGCCGCCGCCUCCGCUGCCGAUCGGGUCUGAGGCGUGAGGACCUGCUGGGGGCGAUUCGCACCCGUCUUGCGUCUUCUCUGGGAUUUCUGCUGAGUCAGGUGGGCGGACCCCUCCACAGCUCCGAAACUCGCGGAGGGGUUGCCCCCAAGUCCUUGGGGCGUACAGGUUACUGAGAUCCGGGACUGCCCGCAGACAGAAAAAGGCUCCGCGGCGAGCCCAGGACUCCUGAGAGCUCGGAAGAUCCGCUGCUCCGCUGGCUGCCUCUGCCUGAUGCCUGGUAAUUUAUUGCCAUCAAUCACUCUUAGUUGGGAGGGGGGGAAAUCGGAGCAGGGAAGGAAGGGUGUCUUUUUUUUUUCUGGGGGUGGGGGAUGGCGUAGGUAGAGGAGGUUAAAACAGAUCAAGAAAUAACUGCGACCAAAGAACUUGCCCUUCCACCCAGCGCUACUAACGAGGAGAGAGGAAAACGUGUGCUUUGAAUUUCCCCAACUGGGUGCUUUGCUAUGAAGCUGGCGACUUGCAACCUACCAUUGCGGGAGACCCCCGAGGAGAGGGAGAGGCCGGCAGGAUCUUCCCUUUUCCU
rnacentral:lncRNA from 1 species